CGCACCCCACUGAGGAAGAUGGCGGCGCCCUGAGACCGGACUUGCAAACGUCUAUAGAGAUCAGAAGAACUACUGCGCUGCCUUCGCCAAGUGGAAACUGUGAUGCUGCUUAAGCUCCCUUGGUUGCAGCAGAAGCUAUAGCGAUCCGCCUCCUCAGAUGAAAUGAAAGAGCUUUAUUUUAUCCUAUCCUAUUUUAUCAUAGAGCUUUAUUUUAGCUCUAGGAGGGCUAAAAUUAAGCUCUUGUUUGUUCAACUUUUGGAUUCCAUUUAGAGCUUUAUUUUAGCAGCAGUGAUAUACCAUGGUUUUAAAUAGUUGUCUUCUAUUCCAUGACACUAAAAUAAAAAGAAAGGAAUUAACCUCUACCUUAUACUUGCGGCACUAACUUGUAAAGGAUUGCCUUGUUUGAUUGUCACAUACCGGGGGUACCCCUGGAAAAGCCUGUUGUUUAUUCCGUGUAGGAUAAUAAAAAAAAUGGGUGGUUCUCGG